GUGAGGAAACUAAGAUAGAUAAAGACCAGGUGAACUGUCCAAAUGACACAGCUACCCUGGGGCUGGCAAACUCCAAACGCUUUUAACCUUGGUCCUACAGAGGAGUGGUGCAGCAGAUCCAGAGGCACCUUCAGCUGUGUAGCAGAAGUGGAGAUGUUUUUAACAUGCCAGAGCUAUGCCUUUUGCCAGACCCACCCAGGUUCAUGCAGAUGCUGCUCCUGAAAAAUCACAGCUACUCCAGAACACAGAGCUUCCUGAGUCCACCCCAAACAUUUCCCCAAGUACUCUGCAACCAGCAGAAGAGCAGCUCUCUGGUCUGAGUGCCUUAUGAUUUAUGAAUAACUCUGGUUUCCAUUAAGCUGCAGAAAGGGGAUAGUGUGUUUCACCCUGUGCUGAGAACCCCAUUUGUUUCCGUUCCUGUCAGCAGUUUGCAUAAGUGAAUGAUUUUAUUUCAUGUGAGAGAGAAGGCAAACACACAAGUUAUCCCAGCAGUGGAAGAUUUGUCAAAUAAAGCUUUUAAUAAUGGUGUUAUUUGACA
rnacentral:lncRNA from 1 species